rnacentral:rRNA from 1 species
AUUGAACGCUGGCGGCAGGCCUAACACAUGCAAGUCGAGCGGCAGCGGGAAAGUAGCUUGCUACUUUUGCCGGCGAGCGGCGGACGGGUGAGUAAUGCCUGGGGAUCUGCCCAGUCGAGGGGGAUAACUACUGGAAACGGUAGCUAAUACCGCAUACGCCCUACGGGGGAAAGCAGGGGACCUUCGGGCCUUGCGCGAUUGGAUGAACCCAGGUGGGAUUAGCUAGUUGGUGAGGUAAUGGCUCACCAAGGCGACGAUCCCUAGCUGGUCUGAGAGGAUGAGCGGCCACACUGGAACUGCGACACGGUCCAGACUCCGACGGGAGGCAGCAGUGGCGAAUAUUGCACAAUGGGGGAAACCCUGAUGCAGCCAUGCCGCGUGUGUGAAGAAGGCCUUCGGGUUGUAAAGCACUUUCAGCGAGGAGGAAAGGUUGGUAGCUAAUAACUGCCAGCUGUGACGUUACUCGCAGAAGAAGCACCGGCUAACUCCGUGCCAGCCGCCGCGGUAACAC